GCGGAUUAACAAUAAUGUCGGACUCUAUCCAGUAUGGGCGUUUUGAUUCUUGAGGGGAGUUAUCUCUAGUACGAGAGGACCGAGAUGAGGAAACCUCUAGUGUGCCUGUUGUCACUCCAGUGGCAGCGCAGGGUAGCUACGUUUUUAUUUGAUAAGUGCUGAAAGCAUCUAAGCACGAAGCAGACCCCAAGAUUAGGAAUCUUUAAGACCCCAAGUAGACUACUUGGUUGAUAGGUUAGCAGUGUAAGUGCUGUAAGGCAUUUAGCUUACUAAUACUAAUGGUCAUCGUUGAGAUUUU
rnacentral:rRNA from 1 species